AUUAAACGCUGGCGGCAUGCCUUACACAUGCAAGUCGAACGGCAGCACGGGGGCAACCCUGGUGGCGAGUGGCGGACGGGUGAGUAAAGCAUCGGAACGUAUCCUGGAGUGGGGGAUAACGUAGCGAAAGUUACGCUAAUACCGCAUAUUCUGUGAGCAGGAAAGCAGGGGAUCGCAAGACCUUGCGCUCUGGGAGCGGCCGAUGUCGGAUUAGCUAGUUGGUGGGGUAAAGGCCUACCAAGGCGACGAUCCGUAGCGGGUCUGAGAGGAUGAUCCGCCACACUGGGACUGAGACACGGCCCAGACUCCUACGGGAGGCAGCAGUGGGGAAUUUUGGACAAUGGGCGCAAGCCUGAUCCAGCCAUGCCGCGUGAGUGAAGAAGGCC
rnacentral:rRNA from 1 species